rnacentral:rRNA from 1 species
GACGAACGCUGGCGGCGUGCCUAAUACAUGCAAGUCGAACGGUUUAGUUCCAAGAGGCUUGCCUUUUGGAACUAGACAGUGGCGGACGGGUGAGUAACACGUAGGCAACCUACCUGUCAAACCGGGAUAACCUCGGGAAACCGAAGCUAAACCCGGAUAAGCUCCUUUUUCGCAUGAAGGGGGAGUGAAAAGGUGCGACCUGAUGACAGAUGGGCCUGCGGCGCAUUAGCUAGUAGGUAGGGUAACGGCCUACCUAGGCGAUGAUGCGUAGCCGACCUGAGAGGGCGUACGGCCAAACUGGGACUGAGAUACGGCCCAGACUCGUACGGGAGGCAGCAGUAGGGAAUCUUCGGCAAUGGGCGAAAGCCUGACCGAGCAACGCCGCUUGAGUGAGGAAGGCCUUCGGGUUGUAAAACUCUGUUGUUUGGGAAGAAGGGAAAGGGUAGGACCCUUUGGUGACGGUACCAAACGAGAAAGCCCCGGCUAACUACGUG